UACAGAGGGUGCGAGCGUUAAUCGGAAUUACUGGGCGUAAAGCGUGCGCAGGCGGUGAUGUAAGACCGAUGUGAAAUCCCCGGGCUUAACCUGGGAACUGCAUUGGUGACUGCAUCGCUCGAGUAUGGCAGAGGGGGGUAGAAUUCCACGCGUAGCAGUGAAAUGCGUAGAGAUGUGGAGGAAUACCGAUGGCGAAGGCAGCCCCCUGGGUCAAUACUGACGCUCAUGCACGAAAGCGUGGGGAGCAAACAGG
rnacentral:rRNA from 1 species